UUGAAGGUGAAGGAGCUCAAG
rnacentral:siRNA from 1 species